rnacentral:rRNA from 1 species
CCUACGGGAGGCUGCAGUGGGGAAUAUUGGACAAUGGGGGCAACCCUGAUCCAGCCAUGCCGCGUGUGUGAAGAAGGCCCUCGGGUUGUAAAGCACUUUCAGUGAGGAAGAACGCCUGGUGGUUAAUACCCAUCAGGAAAGACAUCACUCACAGAAGAAGCACCGGCUAACUCCGUGCCAGCAGCCGCGGUAAUACGGAGGGUGCGAGCGUUAAUCGGAAUUACUGGGCGUAAAGCGCGCGUAGGUGGCUUGAUAAGCCGGUUGUGAAAGCCCCGGGCUCAACCUGGGAACGGCAUCCGGAACUGUCAAGCUAGAGUGCAGGAGAGGAAGGUAGAAUUCCCGGUGUAGCGGUGAAAUGCGUAGAGAUCGGGAGGAAUACCAGUGGCGAAGGCGGCCUUCUGGACUGACACUGACACUGAGGUGCGAAAGCGUGGGUAGCAAACAGGAUUAGAUACCCAGUAGUC